UGUUUUACUUGGCGAACGGUUGUGAUUUUUUUCGAAGGCGGUUUUAAAGAAGAAUAAAGGUUUUGAAAAAAGACGUAAUUUACGCCGAAAAUUGAAAAUAUAAUUUCAGUGGAAAUGGAAAAAAAUUAAAAAUUAAUAGAUGGUGUUGGUAAACAGAAAAAUAAAUUAUAAAAGUGUAAUAAACAUUUAAGAUAAUUAAGCAAAAACCGAAUUUGAAUUCUUAGUGGAAGUUAAGUGAUUUUUGAAAAAUAACUAUAAAGAUGCUUAAUGCAAAACAAGUAGAAGUUUUACAUUUGGCUGUGCCAAAUUUUAAAUAUCCUUUACCAUGAUGUGUUUCAAAUCAAAAAAUAUUAGCUGAAAGAAGAACAAGUAAGACUAUUAUAUUCGUCUAUGACGAAUCUUAUUUAUCCACCAUCAAAUCAUAACCUGUACAAUUGACAUUAAUUUCGAAUAGCAAAGAGAGUUAAAGAAAUUUCACUGAUAGAAAUCUGAGAGAUUCGAAUCCCUUAUAUAUCUGGGAUCUUCUGAAAUCUGUUUUCAACAUUCAUACAGAGAGACGGACGAUUAGAAGGGCAAACAGACAUUUAAAAAACGAUUUUGCUAUCUGUUAAGAUACAGAAUAUACAAAAUUCACAAGGUCGAAAAAUUAUAUUAUAGAAAUUACAAACGGAAUGACAAUGUUAUAUAUUCGCCACCUUGCGCACGAAGGUAAAGGAUUUAAAAAAAUUGCACUUAAAUAAUUAAGUUAAUUAUACAAAAACUGAAUUUGAAUUCUAAGUGGCAAAUAAGUGACAUUAAAAAAUUAAGUAAAAAUAAUAUUUUGAAAACUAAAAUAAAUUUACAUCUUCUACUGUGAAAAAGAGAGAAAUUACAAUAUGCUGAAAGUGUUUUUACGAAUUGACAGAAAUUUUUGACUUUCAAAACGUCCAAAUUUUAUUUGAAUACUUAGAAAUAAUAAUAAAAAAACAUGGAUAAAUAUGGAUUAAUCUUACUUAAGGAAUAAACUGAGAAAAGUAAUAAUCAACAAUAAAGCAGUAUUCGAUCGUAUAUUGAUCAUAUCUUAAAGAGAUGAUUUUAUGAUUUGAAAGUCCAAAAUAGCAAACAACUUGUACAACAUGAUGAAUAACAAACACUAUGAGAUAACAACUAAUCUUUCACAAAAGGACACCUUCAAAGAUCAUAUGUUUGUAAUUGAACUAAAAACGGGUGUAUAAGGCUUCCCUGGAUAUUUGCUUUCACUCAAGGAUGACCUCCAGAAACAUAAGUUUAUAAUUCAACUAAUAAUGGUUAUA